UGGGGAAUAUUGCACAAUGGGGGAAACCCUGAUGCAGCGACGCCGCGUGAGCGAAGAAGGUUUUCGAAUCGUAAAGCUCUGUCCUAUGAGAAGAUAAUGACGGUAUCAUAGGAGGAAGCCCCGGCUAAAUACGUGCCAGCAGCCGCGGUAAUACGUAUGGGGCGAGCGUUGUCCGGAAUUAUUGGGCGUAAAGGGUACGUAGGCGGUCUAUUAAGUCAGGUGUGAAAGCGUGAGGCUUAACCUCAUUAAGCACUUGAAACUGAUAGACUUGAGUGAAGGAGAGGAAAGUGGAAUUCCUAGUGUAGCGGUGAAAUGCGUAGAUAUUAGGAGGAGUACCGGUGGCGAAGGCGACUUUCUGGACUUUUACUGACGCUCAGGUACGAAAGCGUGGGGAGCAAACAGG
rnacentral:rRNA from 1 species